CCUACGGGUGGCUGCAGUGAGGAAUAUUGGUCAAUGGGGGGAAUCCUGAACCAGCCAUGCCGCGUGCAGGACGACGGCUCUACGAGUUGUAAACUGCUUUUGUACCGGGGUAAAAUGCUCUACGAGUAGGGUUUUGAAAGUACGGUACGAAUAAGGAUCGGCUAACUACGUGCCAGCAGCCGCGGUCAUACGUAGGAUCCGAGCAUUAUCCGGAGUGACUGGGUGUAAAGAGUUGCGUAGGUGGCAUAAUAAGUAGCUAGUGAAAUCUGGUGGCUCAACCAUUCAGACUAUUAGCUAAACUGUUAAGCUCGAGACCGUUAGGGGUAACUGGAAUUUCUAGUGUAGGAGUGAAAUCCGUAGAUAUUAGAAGGAACACCAAUAGCGUAGGCAGGUUACUGGGACGGUUCUGACACUAAGGCACUAAAGCGUAGGGAGCAAACGGGAUUAGAUACCCUGGUAGUC
rnacentral:rRNA from 1 species